UACGGAGGGGGUUAGCGUUGUUCGGAAUUACUGGGCGUAAAGCGCGCGUAGGCGGACUGGAAAGUUGGGGGUGAAAUCCCGGGGCUCAACCCCGGAACGGCCUCCAAAACUAUCAGUCUAGAGUUCGAGAGAGGUGAGUGGAAUUCCAAGUGUAGAGGUGAAAUUCGUAGAUAUUCGGAGGAACACCAGUGGCGAAGGCAGCUUACUGGUACUAUAUUGACGCUGAUGAACGAAAGCGUGGGUAGCGAACAGG
rnacentral:rRNA from 1 species